CCUUGUGGAAUUUUAUACUGUGAGCUGAAGACAUGGUGUUCAAUGGAUGAUGCAGCAUUCCACAGCAAUACUGCCUCUGUCUGUAAUACACACAGGACUCUGCCAUUUACAUAGAACUUCUCUGAAGACAUGGAAAAAAUACUUGAUUUUGUUCUCAAGGACUUAACAACUGCUUAACUGCCCUGUGAGAGAUGCUGCCACCAUCUCUUCUAAGUAUGAAAUAGUUCAAUCAUUGGAUUGCAAGAAACUCCUUUUGAAUCCAUUCCAUUUGCACCUUUGCUUGCACUGCACUGAAACCGGCCUUGCAGAGCACUUAACUUCAUAGAAUUA